UACAGGGGGUGCAAACGUUGCUCGGAAUUAUUGGGCGUAAAGCGCACGUAGGCGGUUUGUUAUGUCGGAUGUGAAAGCCCUUGGCUCAACUGAGGAAGUGCAUCCGAAACUGGCAAGCUAGAGUAUGUAAGAGGGUCGCGGAAUUCCCGGUGUAGAGGUGAAAUUCGCAGAUAUCAGGAGGAACACCAAUGGCGAAGGCAGCACUCUGGGACGGUACUGACGCUGAGACGCGAAAGCGUGGGGAGCAAACAGG
rnacentral:rRNA from 1 species